rnacentral:rRNA from 1 species
UACGGAGGGUGCAAGCGUUGUCCGGAUUUAUUGGGUUUAAAGGGUGCGUAGGCGGCUUUUUAAGUCAGUGGUGAAAGACAACAGCUCAACUGUUGCAGUGCCAUUGAUACUGAAGAGCUUGAGUACAGAUGAGGUAGGCGGAAUUUAUGGUGUAGCGGUGAAAUGCAUAGAUACCAUAAAGAACACCUAUUGCGAAGGCAGCUUACUAAGCUGGUAACUGACGCUGGGGCACGAAAGUGUGGGGAUCAAACAGGG